AGCAGCGGAGCAUGUGGUUUAAAUUCGAUGCAACGCGAAGAACCUUACCAGGGCUUGACAUAUGGGUGAAGAUCUAGAGAUAGAUUCCUCUUUUCGGAGACAUCCAUACAGGUGGUGCAUGGUUGUCGUCAGCUCGUGUCGUGAGAUGUUGGGUUAAGUCCCGCAACGAGCGCAACCCCUAUAACUAGUUGCCAGCACUUCGGGUGGGGACUCUAGUUAGACUGCCGAAUGAUAAAUCGGAGGAAGGUGGGGAUGACGUCAAAUCAUCAUGCCCUUUAUGUCCUGGGCUACACACGUGCUACAAUGGUCGGUACAGAGGGCAGCGAGACUGUGAAGUUAAGCGAAUCUCAGAAAAGCCGGCCCCAGUUCGGAUGUAGGCUGCAACUCGCCUACACUGAAGUCGGAGUUGCUAGUAAUCGCAGAUCAGAAUGCUGCGGUGAAUGCGUUCCCGGGUCUUGUACUACACCGCCGUCAC
rnacentral:rRNA from 1 species